UGGGGAAUAUUGCACAAUGGGCGCAAGCCUGAUGCAGCCAUGCCGCGUGUAUGAAGAAGGCCUUCGGGUUGUAAAGUACUUUCAGCGAGGAGGAAGGCGUUGUGGUUAAUAACCGCAGCGAUUGACGUUACUCGCAGAAGAAGCACCGGCUAACUCCGUGCCAGCAGCCGCGGUAAUACGGAGGGUGCAAGCGUUAAUCGGAAUUACUGGGUGUAAAGCGCACGCAGGCGGUCUGUCAAGUCGGAUGUGAAAUCCCUGGGCUCAACCUGGGAACUGCAUCCGAAACUGGCAGGCUAGAGUCUUGUAGAGGGGGGUAGAAUUCCAGGUGUAGCGGUGAAAUGCGUAGAGAUCUGGAGGAAUACCGGUGGCGAAGGCGGCCCCCUGGACAAAGACUGACGCUCAGGUGCGAAAGCGUGGGGAGCAAACA
rnacentral:rRNA from 1 species